rnacentral:rRNA from 1 species
AGUGAACGCUGGCGGUAGGCCUAACACAUGCAAGUCGAACGGCAGCACAGUAAGAGCUUGCUCUUACGGGUGGCGAGUGGCGGACGGGUGAGGAAUACAUCGGAAUCUACUUUUUCGUGGGGGAUAACGUAGGGAAACUUACGCUAAUACCGCAUACGACCUACGGGUGAAAGCAGGGGAUCUUCGGACCUUGCGCGAUUGAAUGAGCCGAUGUCGGAUUAGCUAGUUGGCGGGGUAAAGGCCCACCAAGGCGACGAUCCGUAGCUGGUCUGAGAGGAUGAUCAGCCACACUGGAACUGAGACACGGUCCAGACUCCUGCGGGAGGCAGCAGUGGGGAAUAUUGGACAAUGGGCGCAAGCCUGAUCCAGCCAUACCGCGUGGGUGCAGAAGGCCUUCGGGUUGUAAAGCCCUUUUGUUGGGAAAGAAAAGCAGCAGGUUAAUACCCCGCUGUUCUGACGGUACCCAAAGAAUAAGCACCGGCUAACUUCGUG